rnacentral:rRNA from 1 species
UACGUAGGGGGCAAGCGUUGUCCGGAAUCAUUGGGCGUAAAGCGCGUGUAGGCGGCCAGAAAAGUCCGCUGUGAAAACUCGAGGCUCAACUUCGAGCUGUCGGUGGAAACUUUCUGGCUAGAGUCCGGAAGAGGAGAAUGGAAUUCCUGGUGUAGCGGUGAAAUGCGCAGAUAUCGGGAGGAACACCAGUGGCGAAGGCGGUUGCCUGGAGCUUUGCUGACGCUGAGGCGCGAAAGCGUGGGGAGCGAUCCGG